AGUAAAGACUGCAGCCGUGUCUUGGUCACUGUCUGCCCUAUAUGGCUCUUUCUUCCGUCUUGAGGCUGGGUAACUACAAGGCUUGAAGGCCUCCUGGGUGAUAGGUAACAAUACAGCUCAAGGCAACAAUCCAGAAAUUGCCUUUGAGCUACCUCAAAUCUCCACCCUAAAUGCCAGAGUACAGGGUUCUGUAUAACACGUGGAAGAUACUAAACACAAACUCCUUUCUUGGCAUCUGGCUCUAUUCUGCCAAUGUUUCAGAAUAUUGAGAUGAGAAUCAUAAAAGAUUGAGAGAAUAAUGGAUAUUAAUCAGAGCUGAACUGUUGGGUGCCUCCUUUGUCAAGAGACUAAGUAUACAGAAGACAAAAUUGCCCUAUACUAAACUUUAGAAUUCUUUUAUGAAAUACAAUGUGAGAGAAAGAGAACUGUGGAUAUUGAACAACUAAGGGGGUAGAUUGCAGUGAGCAUUUGGUUUGGUCUUCCUAGCAUCCCAAAUAUCCUUCUUAUUUGAUUGGACCUCGAGAAAAUGUAAUGUCAAGGCCCUUCUUUCCACAGUGUAAGACAGAUGGGGCAGAGAGUCUCUUUUACAAUUUUCUAAUACUUGUGGUGGGGCUAUGUGACCUAGGCUCAGUCUAUCAGAUGCUCUAGCAUAGAAUUUUGGAUCUUGGAGGUUUGACAUGAGACUCAGAGGAGACAAAAAUUAUUCACACUGUAGGGUAUACAGAUUAAGAGGUAUGAUGUAUACACAUGAAACUCAUAUAAUGUUAUAAAUUGGUAUUACCUCAAUUAAAAAUAUGUAUUCAGUGAGGAUCUUUGGUAUGGGUAAGAGCCUGUGAGUUGAACUAAAGAUAUUAGAGACUAUUUCUGAUA
ensembl:lncRNA